rnacentral:rRNA from 1 species
UACGUAGGGGGCAAGCGUUGUCCGGAUUUAUUGGGCGUAAAGAGCGUGUAGGCGGUCAGGUAGGUCCGUUGUGAAAACUCGAGGCUCAACCUCGAGACGCCGAUGGAAACCAUCUGACUAGAGUCCGGAAGAGGAGAGUGGAAUUCCUGGUGUAGCGGUGAAAUGCGCAGAUAUCAGGAGGAACACCGGUGGCGAAGGCGGGACUCUGGGCCGAUACUGACGCUGAGGAGCGAAAGCGUGGGGAGCAAC